CCUACGGGCUGCAGCAGUGGGGAAUAUUGGACAAUGGGCGAAAGCCUGAUCCAGCAAUGCCGCGUGUGUGAAGAAGGUCUCCGGAUUGUAAAGCACUUUCGACGGGGACGAUGAUGACGGUACCCGUAGAAGAAGCCCCGGCUAGCUUCGUGCCAGCAGCCGCGGUAAUACGAAGGGGGCUAGCGUUGCUCGGAAUGACUGGGCGUAAAGGGCGCGUAGGCGGUUUAUGCAGUCAGAUGUGAAAUCCCCGGGCUUAUCCUGGGAACUGCAUUUGAGACGCAUAGACUAGAGGUCGAGAGAGGGUUGUGGAAUUCCCAGUGUGGAGGUGAAAUUCGUAGAUAUUCGGAGGAACACCAGUGGCGAAGGCGGCUUACUGGUCUGCAACUGACGCUGAGGCGCGAAAGCGUGGGGAGCAAACAGGAUUAGAUACCCCCGUAGUC
rnacentral:rRNA from 1 species